rnacentral:rRNA from 1 species
GACGUAGGGCGCGAGCGUUGUCCGGAUUUAUUGGGCGUAAAGAGCUCGUAGGCGGCUUGUCGCGUCGUCCGUGAAAACCUGCAGCUCAACUGCAGGCUUGCGGUCGAUACGGGCAGGCUGGAGUUCGGUAGGGGAGACUGGAAUUCCUGGUGUAGCGGUGAAAUGCGCAGAUAUCAGGAGGAACACCAGUGGCGAAGGCGACUUCCUGGCCUGUUCUUGACGCUGAGGCGCGAAAGCUAGGGUAGCAAACGGG